GCUCAUUAUAUAAGUUAUCGUUUAUUUGAUAGUACCUUACUACUUGGAUAACCGUGGUAAUUCUAGAGCUAAUACAUGCUGCCAACCCCGACUCCGGAAGGGGCGUAUUUAUUAGAUCCAAAGCCAACGCCCUCCUGGGGCUCCUUGGUGAUUCAUGAUAACUCUUCGAAUCGCACGGCCUUGCGCCGGCGAUGGUUCAUUCAAAUUUCUUCCCUAUCAACUUUCGAUGUUUGGGUAUUGGCCAAACAUGGUCGCAACGGGUAACGGAGGGUUAGGGCUCGACCCCGGAGAAGGAGCCUGAGAGACGGCUACUACAUCCAAGGAAGGCAGCAGGCGCGCAAAUUACCCAAUCCCGACACGGGGAGGUAGUGACAAUAAAUACUGAUACAGGGCUCUUUAGGGUCUUGUAAUUGGAAUGAGUACAGUUUAAACCCCUUAGCGAGGAACAAUUGGAGGGCAAGUCUGGUGCCAGCAGCCGCGGUAAUUCCAGCUCCAAUAGCGUAUAUUAAAGUUGUUGUGGUUAAAAAGCUCGUAGUUGAACCUUGGGCCUGGCUGGCCGGUCCGCCUCACCGCGUGCACUGGUCCGGCCGGGCCUUUCCCUCUGCGGAACCCCAUGCCCUUCGCUGGGCGUGGCGGGGAGGCAGGACGUUUACUUUGAAAAAAUUAGAGUGCUCAAGGCAGGCCUAUGCUCGGAUACAUUAGCAUGGAAUAAUGAAACAGGACGCGCGGUUCCGUUUCGUUGGCUCUAGGGACCGCCGUAAUGAUCGAUAGGGACAGUCGGGGGCAUCAGUAUUCAGCUGUCAGAGGUGAAAUUCUUGGAUUUGCUGAAGACUAACUACUGCGAAAGCAUUUGCCAAGGAUGUUUUCAUUAAUCAGGAACGAAAGUUAGGGGAUCGAAGACGAUCAGAUACCGUCGUAGUCCUAACCAUAAACUAUGCCGACUAGGGAUCGGACGAUGUUGUCUCUUGACGCGUUCGGCACCUUGCGAGAAAUC
rnacentral:rRNA from 1 species